AAUUAGUAUCGUAAUUGUCUUUCUUUUUGGCGUGUUCGUUCUUGUGUGUCAUUCUUAAUUUUUAUGUUAGCCGUUCCGAAAACGAUGUUUUAGAACGGAAAUACUAACGCUUGCACAAGUAUAGUCAAGAGACUAUAGCUCAUAUAUUAUUUGUUUGUUUUCCUGUCCCUCGUAUGCUGUUCAUGUUUCGUUCUUGUUCUUCAGCGCUAAGAGCAUACUCCUUAGGAGUGUGAGUAUGAGCUUUACAAAUUUUGCAUUUAUCAUUAUCUUAUUAUUAUUAUUUCACAGAAUUCGCUGAAGGACGGUCAGAAACUUCCCUAGGCUGGGUUGGGUAUCAGUGAAUAUACUAACACUUCUAGAGCCCAAAGCUUGCCCCGAAAAAGCGCGAUGGUCGACUUCAACCUUAACGCUGUGUAAUUUUUUAUUCAUACACCUGCCUAAUCCUGGGGUCACAAGGUGCACGGCAGGUGUGACUAUAAAGGUGGUGUUUACGAAAACUUCGUGCCACGUAGUAAGUUAGGAGUUUUUGCAAGAGAGAGAGAGAGAGGGGGGGGGAGAGAAAACGACAAAGAUCUCAGCGCAGCCGUUUAAAAUUAAGAUGGAAAGCAUGUUGUUGGAAACCAGUUUGUAUGAUGGCAAAUGACGAAGCAGUUUAUGCUUAUUUCUUUCCUUCCUUCAUUUUUCCCUCUUAUUUUCAUUAUUGUAAUGAUAGUGUGUGUGUGUGUGUGUGUGUGUGCGCGCGAGCGCGCGUGUCAGCGCACGUACUGUUGGUCGUAUUAUAUAUCACAUUUUGUCAUUUUCUUUUGCAUAGGCGACGAGGUUAGAUCCGAGCUAAGGUCCAACAUCCAAGGAGUAGGUUCAUCGAUCGAUGCCAACAUGAUUAUUUGAUCUUCACCAGUCCGGAGCUGUCUGGGUCUGGCUUUACUGGUUUUCCAUGUUUUCGCUGUCUCUGUGCAACAAAAUGCGCAGUCUUCGAAAGAUACGGCAUAUAUUUUAGAGUGACACUUUGCAAGAAAGUUUGAACAAAUAGAUGUUUCAUCUGUGGUUGCCAUUAUCGCAAAGCUUUCCGACCUCACAAGAGGGACCUUUUCAGUCAUCAAGUGACAGAAACAGCCGGGUGGUCUGAUUGCCUACCUUUUAUUUGCUUUCUACAAGUGGAGUCAUAGUGCUUAGUCAUUAAACCUGCUUGGAAUAAAAGCUGAAGCUGUUUUUAUACGAUCAGCAACAGUUUGUGUUCCUCAUUGUGUCAUGUCGACGACCGAUGUUUCUAAGCUGUCUGAGUAGUUUCAUAGCAAGGAUUUCCAGUUUCUUAGCAACCGUAAAAAAAUACCUUGCUAUUUGACAAUUAAGCAUGAUUACAGACUCUGUAAGUGUAAAGCCUACUGGAUGCAUUCGAUGCCCACCAUGUAAGCCUACAGCCGAUUGGAGGCCGGUGCAACUUGCUCCCUUUGCGUUACAGGGGUCUGACACUAGUCUCUUACCCACUUGCUUCCCUUUAAAGUACUUAUGUCAAUGCUUUCCAUUUUCGUUGACAUAAAUCACUUGAAAGAGAAAACAUUCAAUAACAGAUAUUUCUCUUUGCGUGGAAAAAAAACACAAUGCCUGCUCAAUCUUCUGACCCUUAUUAACUUUAACUUUAAAAUUUAUCACACAUGCCAAAGAUUGCUUCUCCCCACUAUUGGAAACAUCCGAAAUCGCCUUAAAGUGUAUAAAAUGCUUCACUGAGGAGAAAAAACCCAGACGUUAUUGAAAAGUUAAUUCCUGCUAGGCCCCUAGAUCUUACAGGUAUUAACUUGACAAAUCAAGUCUUGCCCGUAAACAAUAAUGUGUAAAUGUAAAAAAAAAUGCAAGCUGAUUCCCUUCUCGUACUACGCUGUUGUAGCAACCUGUUUACAAACUGAGACAGUGGGGUUCCAGUUGUUUACCGAGUGUUUAGGAGAACCGUUGCAGUUAAAACGAAUGUGUUGCGGUAGUUUUAUCGUUGUUGUGUGAUACCACAAGAACAAUAACAACGUUCACAUUGACUUCUCAAUCCUUACAGAAAGUGGAAAGGUCAACAGAAAAAGAAUCAAUGAGCAGUUUCAUUUAUCACAGCGGUUGUAACUCUUCGAUUAUGAAUUCA
rnacentral:lncRNA from 1 species